rnacentral:rRNA from 1 species
AUUGAACGCUGGCGGCAGGCCUAACACAUGCACGUCGAACGAGUGGCGGACGGGUGAGUAAUUUCUGGGACACUGCCCGAUGGAGGGGGGUAACUACUGGAAACGGUAGCUAAUACCGCCUACCAUCGGAUGUGCCCAGAUGGGAUUCGCUAGUAGGUGGGGUAAUGGCUCACCUAGGCGACGAUCCCUAGCUGGUCUGAGAGGAUGACCAGCCACACUGGAACUGAGACACGGUCCAGACUCCUACGGGAGGCAGCAGUGGGGAAUAUUGCACAAUGGGCGCAAGCCUGAUAGAGCCAUGCCGCGUGUAUGAAGAAGGCCUUCGGGGUGUAAAGUACUUUCAGCGAGGAGGCGUUACUCGCAGAAGAAGCACCGGCUAACUCCGUGCCAGCAGCCGCGGUAAUUC